rnacentral:rRNA from 1 species
GAUGAACGCUGGCGGCGUGCCUAAUACAUGCAAGUCGAGCGAAGCGGGGAAGGGUGAGGAACACGUAGAUAAACUGCUAUAAAACUGGGAUAAAUUCGGGAAACCGGAGCCAAACCGGAUAAUUGUAGAUGGAUCCCAGCUGCAUUAGAUAGUUGGUAAGGUAACGGCUUACCAAGGCAACGAUGCAUAGACGACCUGAGAGGGUGAUCGGCCACACUGGAACUGAGACACGGUCCAGACUCCUACGGGAGGCAGCAGUAGGGAAUCUUCCGCAAUGGGCGAAAGCCUGACGGAGCAACGCCGCGUGAGUGAUGAAGGUCUUCGGAUCGUAAAACUCUGUUAUUAGGGAAGCGGUACCUAAUCAGAAAGCCACGGCUAACUACGUGCCAGCAGCCGCGGUAAUUC